rnacentral:rRNA from 1 species
UGGCCUACGGGGCGCAGCAGUGGGGGAUAUUGCACAAUGGGGGGAACCCUGAUGCAGCGACGCCGCGUGGGUGAAGAAGCGCCUCGGCGCGUAAAGCCCUGUCAGCAGGGAAGAAAAUGACGGUACCUGAAGAAGAAGCCCCGGCUAACUACGUGCCAGCAGCCGCGGUAAUACGUAGGUGGCAAGCGUUGUUCGGAAUAACUGGGCGUAAAGGAUGCGUAGGCGGUUAAACAAGUUAUAUGUUAAAUAUAUAGGCUUAACCUGUAGAAAGCAUAUAAAACUGUUUAACUAGAGUGCAGGAGAGG